GCUAGUUUGGCAGAAAUAAUGUAUUAAAUUUAGGUUUUAAUUAUAUGUAUAUAUACAUAUCUAGUA
rnacentral:tRNA from 1 species